rnacentral:rRNA from 1 species
UGGGAACGUGCCUUUUGGUUCGGGACAACUCAGGGAAACUUGAGCUAAUACCGGAUGUGCCCUUCGGGGGAAAGAUUUAUCGCCAUUAGAGCGGCCCGCGUCUGAUUAGCUAGUUGGUGAGGUAAAGGCUCACCAAGGCUUCGAUCAGUAGCUGGUCUGAGAGGAUGAUCAGCCACACUGGGACUGAGACACGGCCCAGACUCCUACGGGAGGCAG